CUCACGUGUCUUUGCGCCUUAUUUCCGUUAGCAAGACUGACAUAAAAGGGUCAUGGAGGUACAUCUGAUUCAGCAUCAGGCAUAGGCAGCUGCUAGGGUCGUAGUUCAAUUCCUGUUCUGUCGCGUCCCCCGUGAUUCUUCAGCUGUUCGCGGACCGUGUAUCGGGUAGUUGUGGUCAUAUUCGUGAUUGGGGAAGGAGUAUUGGAGGAAGGAGGAUUCGGGUGUAGCAAAGGAAAAGAGUGAAAUUAGCACAUGAAAUCUACUCAGAUAUCCUAGCGUGCUCCGGUGACACGAGAUGAAUGCCAAGGUAAAAAGAUGGAGACUCUGGAAACAGGCCAUUCAGGAUAUGACAAAGCUGUUUCUUUUUCAUCUCGAUCCAGAGAAGCCAACAUGUUGCUCUAUGAGUGUUAUACAGGCUACUAACAGGGCAAGCUGAAGCUAGGCAGCUAAUACAAGUUCGUGAGUUUAAACUGAUUUAAGAAAUUUGGUUUUUUGAUUGAGAGCUAAGAUAGAUAGAGUGCAUUUCUUAGUCUGACAAAAGAGGAAAUUCUCCCUUUUGAUUCAGAGACUAAGGUUUGUUGAUUUAGUACAUUUCUACAAAAGCUGAGAUAAUGUAAUUCUAUUACCAUUUUGUUUUAGAAAUGUACUAUUACCGCUCUCUACAGAGGGUAAAUACAUGCGGAAUUCUGUUCAUAUUGUGUUUGCCGAUGAUAAAACUCUCUGUCUUUAAUUUUUGAAAAA